UCCUACGGGAGGCAGCAGUGGGGAAUCUUGGACAAUGGGCGCAAGCCUGAUCCAGCCAUGCCGCGUGAGUGAUGAAGGCCCUAGGGUCGUAAAGCUUCUUUCGCCAAGGGAUGAUAAUGACAGUACCUGGUAAAGAAACCCCGGCUAACUCCGUGCCAGCAGCCGCGGUAAUACGGAGGGGGUUAGCGUUGUUCGGAAUUACUGGGCGUAAAGCGCGCGUAGGCGGACUAGAAAGUUGGGGGUGAAAUCCCGGAGCUCAACUCCGGAACUGCCUCCAAAACUCCUAGUCUAGAGUUCGAGAGAGGUGAGUGGAAUUCCGAGUGUAGAGGUGAAAUUCGUAGAUAUUCGGAGGAACACCAGUGGCGAAGGCGGCUCACUGGCUCGAUACUGACGCUGAGGUGCGAAAGUGUGGGGAGCAGACAGGAUUAGAUACCCUGGUAGUCCACACCGUAAACGAUGAAUGCCAGACGUCGGGUAGCAUGCUAUUCGGUGUCACACCUAACGGAUUAAGCAUUCCGCCUGGGGAGUACGGUCGCAAGAUUAAAACUCAAAUGAAUUGACGGA
rnacentral:rRNA from 1 species